UAGGGAAUCUUCGGCAAUGGGGGGAACCCUGACCGAGCAACGCCGCGUGAGUGAAGAAGGUUUUCGGAUCGUAAAGCUCUGUUGUUAAGGAAGAACGAGUGUGAGAAUGGAAAGUUCAUACUGUGACGGUACUUAACCAGAAAGGGACGGCUAACUACGUGCCAGCAGCCGCGGUAAUACGUAGGUCCCGAGCGUUGUCCGGAUUUAUUGGGCGUAAAGCGAGCGCAGGCGGUUAGAUAAGUCUGAAGUUAAAGUCAGUGGCUCAACCAUUGUAGGCUUUGGAAACUGUUUAACUUGAGUGCAGAAGAGGAAAGUGGAAUUCCAUGUGUAGCGGUGAAAUGCGCAGAGAUAUGGAGGAACACCAGUGGCGAAGGCGACUUUCUGGUCUGUAACUGACGCUGAUGUGCGAAAGCGUGGGAAUCAAACAGG
rnacentral:rRNA from 1 species